AGAAGGAGAAGCAGGCACCAGGCGAGACCUGCCCACAGUUUUGGAACUCCGGCCACUGCUGCUACUGCUGCUCAAACUACUGCUGAAGCUGCUGCCAAGGCUGCUGCUGCUGUUCUUUUCAUCACUGGUAAAGCAGCAAAUGGAAAGCAGAGGCCAUUACUGGAGGAACAUGUAGUACCUUAGCCACCUGGUGCUUACCUACCUUUCUGCGGUUACUGAAGAUGAGGCAGUAAGGACUCGGUGGAUAGUCUGUAGUGGUGGUGAUGUUGUCUGCACCGUGGACCAUGAUGUAGAGCACCCAGCACCUGUGUACACACAAGCAAGUGAAUGACAGUAAGGACACCCUGAGCCAGCGUGUCUCCAGGGCGGGUCUCUGGCACGAUGACAUCUGUUGAGUGGAUGUUGAUCUCCAACUGACCUGGGUCAACCCAGGCUGUGGAGAGAGCAUCCAUAACGAGUGAGUGGAGCCAUGUCUUGAGCACUGGUACCUCCAUCAUCUGAACUGCCUGCCGCCAGAGAGGAAACCAGUCUCAGUUGGGGCUGAAGAGUUAGUGUACAGUAGAUGAUGGGGAGGGGUUAAGACUUGUGAGGAAUUGUUGUCUUGAACAAAAGAAGCUGUGAAAGAUGAAAUGGAAGAGAGGGGAGUAUGUGAGGCAGUAAAGGACAUAGGCCAUGACUCAAUUCACUUUAGAACAUAAUAAGAUAACAAUAUUAAUUUGUUCUGACAUAAUCUGCAUAAGAUUAAUAUGUACCUAUUGCAUGCCUAAUGUUUAACAUGCUCUUAUGUGACUUAUAACCACUCUCACUCUUCAUGGCUCUGCUCUUUAUUGGCUUCACUUAACUUUUACUACCUAUGUUUCAUCUUUUUACCAUAAGCAUUGUGGAAAUAGGUUUUAUGAGUGUAGGUGAUAUCUAGUAAGCAGUUGCUCAUGUAUCUUAUUUUGCCUGUCUGGGUAUAUAGAAAUAGAGACAGGGUAUAAGGAGGUCAUCAAAAUAUAGCCAGGGCUCAGGGAGGUCAUCAAGGUAUAGAGCUCAGAAGUCAACAAGAACAGAUAUAGUUCAAAGUCAGGCAAAAA